rnacentral:rRNA from 1 species
GCUAGUAAUCGCGGAUCAGCAUGCCGCGGUGAAUACGUUCCCGGGCCUUGUACACACCGCCCGUCACACCAUGAGAGUCGGGAACACCCGAAGUCCGUAGUCUGACCGCAAGGGGGACGCGGCCGAAGGUGGGUUCGAUAAUUGGGGUGAAGUCGUAACAAGGUAAC